rnacentral:rRNA from 1 species
AUGCCGGGCCCCGCGAGGACCUCCCGAGAGACUCCUGAGAGCUCCACCGCAUCCACGGCUUCCACGGAGACGGCGGCCCCCGCCAGGACCUUCGCGGAGACGCCCGACAGCUCCACGACCUCCCGGGAGACGGCGACCCACGCCAGGACCUUCGUGGAGACGCCCGACAGCUCCACGACCUCCCCGGAGACGGCGACCACCGCCAGGACCUUCGCGGAGACGCCCGACAGCUCCGCGGCCUUCCCGGAGACGCCGCCCCCCGCCAGGACGCCCCCAGAGACGGCCGAGAGUUCCACUACGUACAGGCCCGCCCCCUUUCAGGUUUCACUGAAUGCAGGGAGCAACUGGGCACUCAACCUUGCACAAACUGGGGCAAGGAUUGAGCAGUGUGGCACAUAUUUAGGAUCUUGGGAAGCAUAUCUGAGGGGCCGCAGUGAAUUCUUGUGCCAAUUAGCAGAUUUCGUGCCUGAGAGUCAGUCUCCGACAUUAGUUGCUUGGAUGGCUGGGGCUUGUGGUGGCUUGGGCAAGGCCUUGGGCCACAUCGCGAACAUGGUGAAAGGCGCAUCAGGUUUAUGCUUGCUGGUUGGAGGCGCCAUCCAGCGCAUCAUGGAGAGGCAAGAGCUGGGGAUGGGCGCUGGGCCGCAAGGAGAUGUAGAAAACCCAUCUUCUGUUCCAAGGCUAGUGGUUGUGAGCUCACUUGAAGAGCUGGAGGAAGUAUUGAGUGAAUGGAAGGCAGCGAUCACCGCGCUAUCUAUUGAUGUGAGUCCAGACAUGCCCUUCAGCACGGCGAACGAGUGCUUUGAGCGGCUUGAGUUGGAUGGCUUGCAAGCGCUGAAUAUGAUUCAAGCAGGCCAACAUAUGAAGCUAAAGCGUGCUGAGUACCUGCGUGCCCAGACGCAGCAGGAUGCUGGGGACAUGAGCCACAGCGGAGCACCAGUGGCCCCGGGGACAUGA